GACAAUUUCUGAUCAUCUUGAUGAAGCCAUGACGGAGGCCAGUGAGUGCAAUAAGUCUGUAAUGCCUAGUUGCCACAAUCAACAAAAUAUAAAUUGCUGCAUCAGUCCUGUGGAAGUUUUACCCUGCCAAACAAGCGAUACGGGGAGUUCAAGUAGUGCCAUUGACAAUGGUGAUACUGGGAUUUGUCUGAAUACUGCGGAAAAUUAUCCUGAUCAAAUCACAC
rnacentral:misc_RNA from 1 species